rnacentral:lncRNA from 1 species
GUGAACACAUUUGAAGUCAGCAGGAGACCGUUAGAAACCUCCCCUCCGCUGAGGAGCCUUGCAAACCUCUGCUCACCAGAGCACGCUCAUCAGCUGCGGUCAGUGGCUUCUUUGUUCAUCCAGGGCUGUAAUGUCGCUUUAAACUGUCUUCUGUCCCACAGAGCACACCCUCCUCCAAAAAUGAAAGAGGAAAAAGAAAAAAAAAAAGCACUACAAACAAUCCCCAUGAGUGUUUUUGAAUUCUCUUCUGUUAAUCUUGUUCUAAUGGUAUGAGGUCUUGCCAGGAGCCAUUUGUGGUUUAGACACACUAAAUAACAUAACAUUCACACAGUUAAAAACAAUUAAUAUCAAGUAUCAAAUCAAAGGCUGGGUGGGGCAGAAAUCAGAUUAGUUGUCUUUUCUACUUGUCGUAUGGAGAGGGCCUUUCAGUCUUUACAACUUGCCGAUUGCUACAGGAGGCAAGCACGGUGUUCUGUAGAAGAUAGAAAAUACUUAUUAGUGACAUAAUUGCAUAAAUUACAGACUAUGCUUGCAUUGUUCAGUUAUCAGCAAAAGAUUACCUUGUUUCAAAUAUAAAUGACUUCAGUUGGUAGAUCCUACCUUCUUUGCAGCUGGCAGGGGACAUAGCAGUACUCUGACUCCUAAUAAUGUAAGGGAUGUUGUUCUUGGUUGAGAAUAUUGAUUUUUUUUUCUUUUAUCAAAUAGAAUUUAAGUGGAAAUUCCACUAAAAGUAGAAACUUCAAGAGGAAAGCAAGUAAAGUCUUUCUAAUACAAAGUAGCACUAAACUCUUAACAACAUAGGGACACGUUUCCCAUUAAAAUACUCUUUAAAUUUCAAAUUAUGGGCAAAAUACAAUAUUGAAAAAUUAGUGUAGUUAGAGGUAUUAAUCUUAUCAAGUAGCUAAUAAUGAGACAAAUCAAAUCUACCAGCAAUAUCUGCGAAAGCAAUGUUAAAUCUCACUGGGGUACUUCUAAUAUGUUCUGGUGGCAACGAUCUCAUCGUGCGAAUAGAAACUGACCUUCCAAGCUCUGGGACCGUGGGUACGAUGGGAGGACCUCACACAGAGAGCGGAUCUGGAUGUUGCCUUCAGGCUACGAGUCUGACGUCUGGGCUAGGACUCCACAAACACUGUGAGCAUCGCUGAUUUAGGUGUCUGGACUUUGUCCCGACUUUCAACCUGGGCUACGAGUUCCAACUGGCUGGUCUCACGAGACAAUCCUUCUCUGUCACACACUGCUUGCCUGCAUACCUUACUGCUUGCUCUUCAGAGAGUUGUUCUGACUUCCCUGGGUCACUGUCUGGUCAUUGCAACCUGGAGAUUUAGUUAAAUGUUUCAACAUUGACUUCAGUCACUCCCGGGGCUGACAAAUCCCAGACCACCCGUUCUUGAAGGCCAUCACUCAUCUCCAAAUCUUGUUGAAAUGAAUUAUGUGACUCUUCACAGCUGUCACACCUCGCUACCUAUCUGUUUAAGCACCAUCUUUCUGCGUGGUGGAGUUCCUUGCAUGGCUGCCCUGUGCCCAUAGUAGUAGGUCUAUUCUCUCCUAGCUCCAGAACUGACCGCCUCUUUCUACUCCAGCAUCAAAACCCAAACUCAGAAGUGUUGUUCUUACUUUUUCUGGGGUCAUCACCUGUAAACAAGGGCUUUCUCUACUCGGGCAUCUUUGUUCAUCUCGGUGGCUGCUUUGUCUUAGUUUCAAGACAGAUCUUACUUCCCUGGGUUAUUUUCUGAUGUCUUAAACUAGUUUUAAUCCAGGGUGCAAGUUACUGAUAAGAUGGGAGCCAGUUACAGAUCAGUAACUGAAUUAGGUCUCCUGUCUGCC